GAUGGAUUGUGUUGUAGCAUCUUUUGGUUGCGUGAUUUGUAGAUUUGUGAAAAAAUAGAUCUUUUUUUUUUUUGGCAUGUUCAAUGUUUUGGUUGUCUUGUUUUACAGAUUUGUUCGAUUUGGAUCUCUGUGUUGGCUUGUUUCCAUCUAUUGUAGCACCUUUUGGAGGCUUCUUUGCCAGUGGUUUCAAAAGAGCCUUUAAAAUCAAGGAUUUUGGUGAUAGUAUAUGUGGACAUGGUGGAAUUACAGAUAGAAUUAACUUUGUUUACUCCCAUAGAUGGGGAAAGAGUACAUAUCAAAUGGUUCAUCAGAUUCAAUAUCAU